GAUGAACGCUGGCGGCGUGCCUAAUACAUGCAAGUCGAGCGAACAGACGAGGAGCUUGCUCCUCUGACGUUAGCGGCGGACGGGUGAGUAACACGUGGAUAACCUACCUAUAAGACUGGGAUAACUUCGGGAAACCGGAGCUAAUACCGGAUAAUAUAUUGAACCGCAUGGUUCAAUAGUGAAAGACGGUUUUGCUGUCACUUAUCGAUGGUUCCGCGCCGCAUUAGCUAGUUGGUAAGGUAACGGCUUACCAAGGCAACGAUGCGUAGCCGACCUGAGAGGGUGAUCGGCCACACGGGAACUGAGACACGGUCCAGACUCCUACGGGAGGCAGCAGUAGGGAAUCUUCCGCAAUGGGCGAAAGCCUGACGGAGCAACGCCGCGUGAGUGAUGAAGGUCUUCGGAUCGUAAAACUCUGUUAUUAGGGAAGAACAAAUGUGUAAGUAACUAUGCACGUCUUGACGGUACCUAAUCAGAAAGCCACGGCUAACUACGUG
rnacentral:rRNA from 1 species